rnacentral:rRNA from 1 species
AUUGAACGCUGGCGGCAGGCCUAACACAUGCAAGUCGAGCGGAUGAAGGGAGCUUGCUCCUGGAUUCGGCGGCGGACGGGUGAGUAAUGCCUAGGAAUCUGCCUGGUAGUGGGGGAUAACGUCCGGAAACGGGCGCUAAUACCGCAUACGUCCUGAGGGAGAAAGUGGGGGAUCUUCGGACCUCACGCUAUCAGAUGAGCCUAGGUCGGAUUAGCUAGUUGGUGGGGUAAAGGCCUACCAAGGCGACGAUCCGUAACUGGUCUGAGAGGACGAUCAGUCACACUGGAACUGAGACACGGUCCAGACUCCUACGGGAGGCAGCAGUGGGGAAUAUUGGACAAUGGGCGAAAGCCUGAUCCAGCCAUGCCGCGUGUGUGAAGAAGGUCUUCGGAUUGUAAAGCACUUUAAGUUGGGAGGAAGGGCAGUAAGUUAAUCCCUUGCUGUUUUGACGUUACCAACAGAAUAAGCACCGGCUAACUUCGUG